rnacentral:rRNA from 1 species
ACGGGAGGCAGCAGUGGGGAAUAUUGGACAAUGGGCGCAAGCCUGAUCCAGCAAUGCCGCGUGAGUGAUGAAGGCCUUAGGGUUGUAAAGCUCUUUCGCCCGCGACGAUGAUGACGGUAGCGGGAGAAGAAGCCCCGGCUAACUCCGUGCCAGCAGCCGCGGUAAUACGGAGGGGGCUAGCGUUGUUCGGAAUUACUGGGCGUAAAGGGCGCGCAGGCGGCUGCUCAAGUCAGGCGUGAAAGGCCUGGGCUCAACCCGGGAAUUGCGCUUGAGACUGGGCUGGCUUGAGUGCGGGAGAGGAUGGUGGAAUUCCCAGUGUAGAGGUGAAAUUCGUAGAUAUUGGGAAGAACACCGGUGGCGAAGGCGGCCAUCUGGACCGCAACUGACGCUGAGGCGCGAAAGCGUGGGGAGCAAACAGGAUUAGAUACCCUGGUA